rnacentral:lncRNA from 1 species
GCCUUCUCAUUUGACCAUAGCAACUAACAACUAAAACACCAUAUCCUGAUAUCGUUUCUUGCGACAUGGUAAACGACGUGAUAAAAAAACAACUUGCAAUAGAUAGUGAUAAGUCCUAGGCUUAUGAAUUCCCGUUUCUAUCUAGGUUCAAAUACUAAUUUUAUUUUCAAUCAGUAAAGAACAAAGAUCCAAUGUUCCCCGCCAUGCACAUUUCAUGUCAUAUUUUAUCUAUCAAGGGAAUAACUAAAAAAGCACUUUUUUUUUUUUUCUUUUUAAUUUUCAAUGUCUUAAGAAAUAAAAGCUUCACAGCAAAUGAAAUGAGAUUUCCAUUACAAU